ACAGGACGUAAUUUAAGACUAGCAAAAUACCUCUCUUACACUGAGGAGUUAUCCGUGCAACCCGGGUCGCCCUGA
rnacentral:tRNA from 1 species